CAGUCGUACCUGCGGAUAAUCAGCCUUUAGGAUGCGAUUUUGUGGAGCGUGAGGAGCUAAUCGCCUUCAUGCCUAUAUAUUCGUGUACUGGGGGUGUACUUAUCCGUGAGGUAAGUUAACAACAAUUUUGGUCGUCAUAAAAUGAACUGGAGGAAUUGAGCUUCGAUCUCGU
rnacentral:rRNA from 1 species